AGCGAACGCUGGCGGCGUGCCUAACACAUGCAAGUCGAACGUGAAAGGGAGCAAUCCCAAGUAAAGUGGCGUACGGGUGAGUAACACGUAGGUAAUCUACCCCAGAAUCUGGAAUAACCGGCCGAAAGGCUGGCUAAUACUGGAUAGAGCGACGGAAUCCGUAAUUGGGUUUUUCGGGAAAGGGAGCCUGUAAAAAGGCCUUCGUUCUGGGAUGAGCCUGCGUCCCAUCAGCUAGUUGGUGAGGUAAAAGCUUACCAAGGCAAUGACGGGUAGCUGGUCUGAGAGGACGAUCAGCCACACUGGAACUGAAACACGGUCCAGACUCCUACGGGAGGCAGCAGUGGGGAAUCUUGCGCAAUGGACGAAAGUCUGACGCAGCAACGCCGCGUGAGUGAAGAAGGCCUUCGGGUUGUAAAGCUCUGUCGAGUGGGACGAAAAUGCUUGUAGUUCACAGCUCCAGGAACUGACGGUACCACUAAAGGAAGCACCGGCUAACUCCGUG
rnacentral:rRNA from 1 species